rnacentral:rRNA from 1 species
UACAGAGGGUGCGAGCGUUAAUCGGAAUUACUGGGCGUAAAGCGUGUGCAGGUGGUUUGUUAAGUCUGCUGUGAAAGCCCCGGGCUCAACCUGGGAAUGGCGAUGGAUACUGGCUCGCUAGAGUGCGGUAGAGGAGAGUGGAAUUCCCGGUGUAGCAGUGAAAUGCGUAGAGAUCGGGAGGAACAUCAGUUGCGAAGGCGGCUCUCUGGACCAGCACUGACACUGAGGCACGAAAGCGUGGGGAGCAAACAGG